AUAAUACUUCCUCCGUUCCAAAUUACUUGUCGUAAAAAUGGAUGUAUCUAGAACUAAAAUACAUCUAGAUACAUCCAUACCUGCGACAAGUAAUUCGGAACGGAGGGAGUAUGUG
rnacentral:pre_miRNA from 1 species